AUUGAACGCUGGCGGCAUGCCUUACACAUGCAAGUCGAACGGUAACAGGUCUUCGGAUGCUGACGAGUGGCGAACGGGUGAGUAAUACAUCGGAACGUGCCUAGUAGUGGGGGAUAACUACUCGAAAGAGUGGCUAAUACCGCAUGAGAUCUACGGAUGAAAGCAGGGGAUCGCAAGACCUUGUGCUACUAGAGCGGCCGAUGGCAGAUUAGGUAGUUGGUGGGAUAAAAGCUUACCAAGCCGACGAUCUGUAGUUGGUCUGAGAGGACGAUCAGCCACACUGGGACUGAGACACGGCCCAGACUCCUACGGGAGGCAGCAGUGGGGAAUUUUGGACAAUGGGCGCAAGCCUGAUCCAGCAGUGCCGCGUGCAGGAUGAAGGCCUUCGGGUUGUAAACUGCUUUUGUACGGAACGAAAAGCCCUGGGUUAAUACCCUGGGGUCAUGACGGUACCGUAAGAAUAAGCACCGGCUAACUACGUGCCAGCAGCCGCUGUAAAAC
rnacentral:rRNA from 1 species